rfam:Micromonospora carbonacea strain JXNT-1 contig1, whole genome shotgun sequence.
CUUGAUCGACCCGAGCAGCAGCGGCGUCUCCCGACCCUGCCCGUAGGUCGCGAGCAGCGCCUGCGCCUC